AGAAAUGUCGUUUGUCUUCAAUGCUUUGUCGUUGUUUAGUGGAAGCGCAGUUUAUAAUAGCAUUGUGGUGAAAGCUACUUCAUUUAUCCAGUUUUAUUGAUUGAAUCCAUCCAAAAUGAGUUACGGUAGGCCUGCACCGCGUAUCGAGGGAAUGGUAUCCCUAAAAGUCGACAAUUUAACAUACCGUACAACCGUUGAGGAUUUGAGAAGAGCAUUCGAGAGAUGCGGUGAAGUAGGAGACAUUUAUAUUCCACGGGACCGUUUCACGAGAGAAAGCAGAGGGUUCGCUUUCGUUAGGUUUUAUGACAAGAGGGAUGCCGAGGACGCGCUAGACGCCAUGGACGGACGCAUGAUGGAUGGCAGGGAACUCAGAGUGCAGAUGGCCCGGUAUGGAAGGCCUUCCUCCCCUCAAAGGAGGAACCGCGGCAGAAGGAGAUCUAGAGGCAGACGAAGUAGGUCAAGAUCACGUACUCGUAGGUCAGUGAGCAGAAGUCGCUCUCGCUCGGAUAGCAAGAGCUCCAGAGGGCGGUCCAAGUCGCCUCCAUCAAGGAAUGGAAAACGCAGGUCCAAGUCGGUUAGCAAAUCUCGCUCGAGGUCUAGGUCUUAGAUACCAGAUAGAGUUGCAGGCUGCCAUGCAGUUCAUUAGGGCCUGCCUCUAAAGCAGGUGCUGCUGGUUUGCUGUGAGAGAGUGUUGCGGUUUUGCGGGGGUACGAGAGAUUGCCCAGUGCUGCUUAUGCCGUUCUUGCCGGGCGCAGAAAGCUGCUGCUGUUCUCCCUGCUGAACGGGAAUAAGGAGGGAGAUAACAGCUGUGAGGUCUAAUGGGGGUUUCCAACCAGAUAAAAUGGGGGGGUUAAGGGAGUAGUAUUUCAGUUCAGUUAAUUCAGAUGAUCUCUUACGUUGCUUCUGCCAAAGUAAUAGAAAAAACGGGGGGAAUGUGGCAUUCUUGUUUAUCUAUGGUCUUUGAGACUUUGUCGAUGUGUAACUGAGAUAUCGCCUAAAUUUGGCUCGAAAUCUUAUUUCGUAAGACCCUUUCAAAGAUAAGUUUAACACUUUCUGUGUGUUGAUGAAAAAGUCGUCAAAAACUAGUCUCUCCUAAAGAAAUAUUUGCUUCUAUAUAUUCGAAAAAAAGUAAUGUUUGUUCAGAAGAAACACCUUGAACUACUGAAGCUAGUCAAUCUAUGUUUUACUAGCAUUUUAGUCGUAGACUAGGUCUAUAACAGAUAAUUGAGGUGUCUCUUUGUACAUUCCUUUCUGUCCGUUGUUCUCGUUAGCUCUUAGACCUUUUUUAUGUUUCAUGCCACUCUGAUACUUUUCUUAUUGAUCUGUCUCGGUGCAUUCUCAGUUCUGCCUCACAAUACGUUUUAAUAUGAAGUCGGGCGCACACUAUAGUAAUUUUUACAUUCACUGCAUCAAAACAUCUGUUGAAAAUCUGUUAAAUGUUCGUCUAAGUCGGAGGUCGACAUUAUUUAACUUGGUGAGGCAACAGAUGAAGUGUUAUGGUUGUGUCAAAGCAGAUACUACAGAAUUGGGUGCGAAUUUGUUCCUAUUUGUAGAAUCAAAUGACCUGUGUUUUUGAAUUUAUAUCUCUUCCUUUCAACAAAAAAUACUCUAAACGCCUGGGACUUGAAGGCCCGCCAUUGAAUUAAUAUAGGUAAGGAACAAAAGUGGACCAAGCAUAGAUCCUUGCGGAACUCCACAAAGUAUCCUCUCGGUGGUACUUUGUUGAUUUUCUGUGAACGCGUAUUGUUUUCUGUUAUAUAAAUAAUUUUGAAACUUCCUCUCACCAAAAUUGCGUAAUUUCUGCAGUAAAGUUUUAUAAUCAACUGUUUCAAAUUAGAAAGAAAGGAAAUUGUGAAUUAUUUGAAAUCUGCAGAUUCAUUAGCGUGUUGCCUACAUUCUCUAAAUAAACCAUCAUAGUUAUCUGUUGAAACUGCUGUUGUAAAGUAUUGCCAAAUAUAUUAUCACUGGGAAUUUUGUUGGACCUAUCUUGAACAUGUGACUGUAUGAAUCGUGAAUAUUUAUCAAGCUGUACAGAUAUGGAAUAAGAGGUAAAGCUUUAGAAUGGUUAAAAUCUUAUUUAAGUGAUAGGUAAAAAUCGUAUCAGCUAAGGCGGAUAAGAAAAAUAAUAUAGGCAUUACACAGGAAAGCAUAACUGGGCCUGUUUUUUGUUUUUUAUAAAUGAUCUUUCGAUCAAAACUAAUACAGUAUCUGCUUUGAUGCGUUUGUUUCCUCAUCGCCUUUGGGCAGGACUUUAGUAUUUGGGAUAACGCCCACCAGGGGGAGUGGCAUAUCAAUCGAAAGGGGACGAUGAGAGGAACACAAUGGUAUGGGUUUCAUCGCGAGGAAAUGACAAAAAAUAUUUUUUAUUCAUAUUAUUCUAUUACAUAUAUUUUGGUUUGAACUGACUUUUUAUACAUUUAAUGAGUUCUAAGAAGGGAUCCAACUUAUUGUGACGGACUUCCCGACGCCAGAGAUAUUCGCACAUGUGCAUGACCAGGUCAUCACCACUGUAACUACGCUCUUCCAAAUCGUGUUUCAACCAUUUCCAACUUCCUUCUAUUGUCUGAGUGUGUGCACCGGUUUGUUGAUCGACGAACCGUCCUUUGCCUUUAUUACUGUGGUUAACGGUUUUGUGGACAUGUCCUUCAUUGGAGAGGGAUAGGUAAGGUUUCCACCCGUCGGUGUGAAUUUCAGUGCCGGAGCCACGUGCUUCUUGAUCAGGUUAGGUUAGUUCAUGUCAGAAAAUUUUGACAUUUUUCAAAUUUUUUUCCUCUUAUUUCCUCGCGAUAAAACCCAUACCAUUGUGUUCUUCUCAUCGUCCCCUUUCGAUUGAUAUGCCACUCCCCCUGGUGGGCGUUAUCCCAAAUACUAAAGUGCAGCCCGCCUUUGAUGCCUACCGCAGUCGUAGACGAAAACUUAUUCAUAAAAACCUGCAAAACACAGCCAUCAAACCAGGAUACUAGCUUUGGCAUAAUUAUCUCUUGUCGGGAAUGUUUACACUCUUUGAUCAAAGCUUGGGUUGUUCACAGUUAUAGGAGCCUCUAACACAGAUCCUUGUGUUCACUUGACAUGUCAUUUUUAUUCUGAUCAUCUGAUAUUAAAAACCUUGAAGGUUUAUUUUAUGUGGUCACUUGAGAUUCAUAUUGCCACUGUUACUACUACUAGUACGUUAUACAGGGAUGAAAUUCGAUUGUUUAGAGUUCUUAACGUCUUUGUAUUCCAAAGCUCUGAAUUUGAACUUGUUUGUGAUCUUCAUUAUGUUUUUUCUUGACUAUUCCAAUUCAAUAUUUGUCUUUCGGGAAAUGAAUUAUUAUUAUCAAGUAGAUAAUCUUUCUACAUGUAGAAUGAUGAAAGAAGCAUUUUUUUUCAGUAUUUUACCAUAUUUGCUUAUUUGUUCAGCUCUUCUCAUAAUUUUUACUCUUGCUUUUGACAGUUUGGUUUGGGUUUUGUUCCGCCUAAAGAAUUUUCAUUCUAAUUUUUCAUGAAUCUAAACAAAUGGAUAGCUUUACAUUACUAGUUUAAAUUCAAGUGCAUAGGAAAUGGAGGACAUAAUAAGGAGAAAGGUAUCUAUGAAGGUAAGAAUCACAUUGUCAUGAGUUAUCAAUAUUAAUUUCAAAUCCAGUAUUACAUUGGUUAGUUAACACCUAUAGAAUGCUCCAAUGCUGCUACGAAAGUAAUUCUUUUCUGGAAUCUGUAUUUUGUCUUUUCCCCAUAGGCAGAAUAUUGGAAAAGAAUUAUUUUGGUGACAUUUGAUAUGAUUUCAGGUACAUACUUGCUGCUUAGGUUCUCGUCAGUGUUUUGAAGGAUUGUGAAUAAACUUAUAAAAAUA